CUUCCUCUCCCUUUACCAACAGAUGUGAUCAAAGCGCCUCUAAACAUAAAAUUAAUCGAUGCAAGGGCUUAUUUGCAAAAAAAUAGAUGCGACUCGGUGACAAUACAGGUCAAAAUGUAGACAGUGACGGUAUAAGUCCACGUGAGCAAGUACAAACGUCGUAACAUGCCAUUCUUUGAAUACAAUGACCAAAAUGACCAUGAUGAACAAGUUUUUUUUUUGAGGCAAUGAUGAACAAGUUUAAUGACCCGUAGUGCAUUUUACUAAGUUGAUAAGUUGACACAAGCCUUUGUGGUCCGUUUCCGCCCAUUCAAUUUUUUGUUCAUUCCAUUUAUCCAAAUUUAACGCGCUCUCUUUCCGUUCUCAAAAAAGUAAGUAAAUAAAAAACAAAAACCGCGCUCUCUUUCGAAUCGAAAUGAAGAAAAACCCCCCACCUCAUCCCGCCCACACCGCCGCCCCAAAUACCUAAACCCUCGCCGCCGGCGAUCUCGACGGCGUCCAUGUCGCGCUCGAAGGAAAACAUUUAUCCUGCUCCGCCCCACUACGGCAGCUCUUCCAACCCCUCCCGACUGCUCCCUUGCAAGCGGCCGCUGCAGUCUCCAUGCCCGCCGCCCCGCCGGCCGCUCGCCGAUGUCACGGGCAACGCCCUGCAGCAGCCCGGAUCCGCAGGCGGCGUGGAGGGCAUCGAUUACGGGUACAUCACUCCCCUCCCCAAGGUGCCCAAGUCUUGCGGGUUCCUUCUAGAGGACGACGACAUGGACGAGGCGUUCUUGCUUGAGGUGGACGCCAUCUGCGAGGAGCACUCGCGGUCCAUGGCCGGGAAGGAUAAGGGCAGGGAGAAAGAUUUGACGGUGGAGCGGGGGCCGGUCGUUGUGGCAGCAGCAACCCACGCCGGACCAGUGUGCGGAACGCUUGAGGACGCAUUCUGGACGGAGGCGUAUGCCAUUUUUGAGGAGUGUGAUGCUCAGCCUGCUGCCAAGAGCCAGGAUGAGGAGCUGAAGGAGAUGGUGGAAGAGGAAAGCUCGGUGCUGUCCUGUGGUGAUGAUUCGCUUCUGCCAGCUGUAUCCAUCGCAGAUGACUGUGUUAAGUUGGAGGACACUUUCUGGGAAGUCAAUGCCAUCAGCAAGGAGCACCAUGUCACAUCUUCUGAGAUGAACCAGGAGCACUACGUCGCAUCUUUGGCGAUCAACCAGGAUGAGAUAGACGAGGUGUAUGUAGAAGAUGGCUCAGUAGCAUUAUGUGUUGAUUUCCCUCCAGUAAUUUCCAUUGCGGAGGAGGGAGGAGAGGUUGUUGAUGCACUCUUGGGGGAGGUCGAUGUCAUCCAUGAGGGGCAGGUUGCCAUGUCUGCUGCCAAGGGCAAGGAGGAGCCUGGGGAGAUGGGACUAGAAAUGGAGGAAAAUGAAGGGUGUGCCCCAAGGAAGUACUAUGAGUAUUUGCACUCCCUAAACGACAAGCAGAGGGAGGCUGCAUGCAGUGAUGUUGCUGUUCCGUUAAUGAUCGUUGCAGGUCCAGGAAGUGGAAAGACUUCUACAAUGGUCGGCAGGGUUCUCACAUUGCUCAAAGAGGGAAUUCCACCAUCAAACAUCCUUGCUAUGACAUUCACAACUGCUGCUGCCUCAGAAAUGAGGGACCGGAUAGGGGCAGUGGUCGGGAAGGCAGUUGCCAAAGAGAUCAUAAUAAGCACAUUUCACUCCUUCUGCUUGCAGCUUUGCAGGACCCAUGCUGAAAAGCUAGGCCGCACAUCUGAAUUCAUAAUAUAUGGCCAUGGGCAACAGAGGAGGGCCAUUAUUGAGGCAGAACGCCUGUUGGAGCAUGGCAAAAGUGAUGGUUUAGGAGAUGCAGUUAAGCAGUAUGAUGGAGACAUUAAACAUUCUUUUAAAGACAAAGCUAAGAAGUGGUUGAAGUUUGUUACACAGGCGAAAUCUUCAGGACAAGCUCCUGAAGAAUAUGAAAAGAAGGGCGAUUUGACAGGAGCUUCGAUUCUUCGGCACUAUAAUGAAAUACUAGUGUCUUGUAAUGCUCUUGAUUAUCAUGAUUUUAUCAACUCAUCCAUAACUCUUCUCACGAAGUUUCCUGAAGUAUACAAAGAGUGCCAGAACACAUGGCAGGCAAUAGUAGUUGAUGAGUUUCAGGAUACCAGUGCUAUGCAAUAUUUUCUUCUGAAGCUUCUAGCUUCUCACAAUCAUAUAACCAUAGUUGGUGAUGAUGAUCAGUCCAUCUUCAGUUUCAAUGGUGCGGAUGUUUCUGGCUUUGAUUCAUUCCGUAGAGACUUUCCAAAUCAUAAAGAGAUUAGGUUGAACAAGAACUACCGCUCUACACGGGCAAUUGUCGAAGCAGCAACAGCUCUUAUUCACAACAACACUAAACGGUGUAAUCAUAAACUUGCUGAGACAGACAACCCUUCUGGAAGUAAGAUCACUGUUAAGGAGUGCCAUAGCGAAGAUUCACAAUGUGCAUUUGUCAUUGACAAAAUCAUUGAAACUACAUCUAGUUCAGCUGAAGGCCGCGACUUUGGUAAAAUUGCUGUCCUAUAUCGAAGACAGAUAACUGGCAAAGCAUUCCAAGUGUCAUUCCGCAACAGGAAAAUACCCUUUAAUGUUCAUGGUGUGGCUUUCUACAGGAAAAAGGCUAUCAAAGCUAUUAUGGCAAUACUUAGGACCACAUUACCUGGUUGUGAUGAUGGCCCAUGGCGUCAGGCCUUAAAGACCCUUUUGCCUGGUGACAAGGAAGAAAAGAAGAAGAUUAUAGAUCAUGUGGAAAAGAUUUCAUUGGCUAGAAAGUGUAGCUUCAUAUCAGCUGCUACUGACAUCUUCAGUGCAAAGGUCUCCGGGACCUUCAAAAGGACCCAGAUUACUCAAGGGCGUAAGGUUUUAUCGACCUUGUAUAGCCUAUCAAAAUUUGUUGAGAGGGAACAAUCAGUUUCAGCUGUCAUUUCUUCUGCAGGAAAUAUGCUACCUCAGCAAUAUCUCCUCGAAAAGCGUGCAGUUAUUGAUAACGAUGGUGGUAAAUUGUUAAAUGAAGACAAUGACAUCAGAUCUGUACUUCAGUUUUUAAUGGAUGAUGUGUCUGACUUCUUGUCAACACACUUUUCUAGUUCAGGGGAUGCAAACCAGACUGAGGAGAAAGGCUGCACUGCUACACUUAAAGCCUUCAUUGAUUACAUUUCUUUGAGGGAAACAGAAAAUUUUCGAUCCCGAAAGGAGGAAAAUAAGAACUCCAUCACAUUAACAACUAUUCAUCAGUCAAAAGGUUUAGAGUGGGAUGUUGUGUUCAUCGUGCAGGCAAAUGAUUCAGAGAUCCCCUUACUGCAUGAGUACAAUGGCACUGUGAAAGAAGCUGGAUGCACAUUGGAGGAGGAGAGGAGGCUAUUCUAUGUUGCAAUGACACGAGCUCGGAAGAAAUUGUACAUCUUGCAUGUCACAGUUGACUCUCAUCGCCAGCUGCUACCACCUUCACGUUUCCUUAGAGAGAUUCCAGGUCACCUUCUCGACAUACAGGGUGAGGGGGCUGCAACGAAAUAUCACGAGCAGCCUUCUGGAGACAUUUCAUUUGAUCACGCUGAAGGAGAGACAUCAACUGAAAAGCCUAUUGUAAAUCAGAACGAAACUUCACCUUACCCUGAACUGAUGCAGUCAUGCCUUGCUAAUGAUUUCUUGAAGAGGUUCGAAAUUGAUGAUAGAGCAGUAGUCUCACAUAUAUUUCAUCAUUGGGCGAAGAGGCAGGCAUUUCAAAUUCCAAAGAGACUGCUUGAUAAGAUCAAAUUUGUGAUUGAUGAACGCCUGCGCGGUAAAGGAUAUAAGCGCAAGGAUGUCUUGUGCAAGCUGAAGUCAUUGUUAAGCGACGAUGAAGCGCUUGGUUAUGCAGAAUAUGUUAUCAAGUGGGAACAAAUUCCUAUUGACAAGCGAAGCCAUUUGAUGAGAGAGAGACAGGAACAUUUCCAGAAGCAGAGGAUAGAGAACUCCAUGGGUUCCUCGGAGCCUACACCUAAGCAGAUAUCCUACCUCCGGAGCCUGGGGUGCACCAUAACACCCACGUCUCGUCUCCACGCGUCCAAUCUUAUUGAGAAGUAUAAAUCGCUGUGACCCGUUCUGACGAGUUGAAGUCGCAGAGGAAGCCAAUGGAUAAACUAGCAGGCUCAGCAUUUCCAGGUUACUGAGCUGUGAUUGGCUAAGCGGUGUAUGUGCUGAGACAUGAGCUAAGACUCUGUUUGGUACUCAGACUGUGUGAUGCGGAGCAUCCUACAGACAUCACCAUGUCAAGAGUCCCUUCGGCAAGUGACACGUGCGACAUCUACUUCACAUACAUAAAGGUGAAUCAUCUCCUUUACACGUGUUCACUUGACCCUUUCGAGGAUGGUAUAUUACUUGACACUCCUCUCGUGUGCAUGCAUAUGUAUUACUGGAGCUUCAUCGACAAUGACGAGGAGUGCAAGCACAAGUGUACGCCUACACCAUCCGCGAAGGAAGCGUGUGAACGGCGUUGGAAGAAAGGAGACGAAGACGGAGCUGUUGCCUGGCAUGGAGCCGGACAUCCGGAUGACCAGCCGGAUCAUCCGGGCAUCAACCGGACGUUCGGGUUACCUCCCGGAUCAUCCGACUAUGGCGACCAAAGGCACUCGAAGGCUUGCCCUGAAGCCGGAUCAUCCGGAAGAUGUCGGGAUCAUCCGGCCUUGCCUGUGUGCAUGACGGGCCACUUGGCCUUGUAUCCCCAUCUAACUUACCCCUUUUCUCUUAGCAGUAUAUAUAGACCUUCUCCAGCUCAUUUGUAGGAUAGCUAAGAAUAUAUCUCAUAUCAUAGAGCUUAGCUCAUCUAUCUCCUCGUGUGCGAUUCCUCUUAGGAGAAGAUCCACAAGUGGAUUCAAGGCCUCCUAGUGAGAAGAACCAUCUAUGGUUGCCAAGGCCCCUAAUGGGAAGAUUCCUCCAUGGAAUUCAAGAGCCAUGUUCCUAGAGAUUUGGGUGAACUACCCUUGUAUCUUUAUUUUCCUUGUUGUUCUUGGAUCUUGAUGCAUCCCAUGUAUUGCUUGUGAUUUGAGGAGUACUUGGCGGAAUCUUGUCCAAUAGAGUGUUUUCCUCUCUCUUU